CCUACGGGUGGCAGCAGUCGAGAAUCUUUCUCAAUGGGGGAAACCCUGAUGGUGCGACGCCGCGUGGGUGAAUGAAGGCCUUCGGAUUGUAAACCCCUUUCAUGUGGGAGCAAAUUAAAAAGAUAGUACCACAAGUGGAAGAUACUGCUAACUCUGUGCCAGCAGCCUAGGUACUACAGAGGUCUCAAGCGGUGUGCGGAAUCACUGGGCUUAAAGCGUGCGGAGGCUGUUUCGUAAGGCGUGUGGGAAAGGUUCGGGCUCAAGCCGCGGACAGCACAUGAUACUGCAAGACUAGAGUAAAGGAGAGGGAACCGGAAGGCUCGGUGUAGCAGUGAAAUGCGUAGAUA
rnacentral:rRNA from 1 species